rnacentral:rRNA from 1 species
GACGAACGCUGGCGGCGUGCUUAACACAUGCAAGUCGAACGGAAAGGCCCUGCUUUUGUGGGGUGCUCGAGUGUCGAACGGGUGAGUAACACGUGAGUAACCUCCCCUUGACUUUGGGAUAACUUCAGGAACCUGGGGCUAAUAACGGAUAUGAGCUCCUGCUGCAUGGUGGGGGUUGGAAAGUUUCGGCGGAUGGGGAUGGACUCGCGGCUUAUCCGCUUGUUGGUGGGGUAGUGGCUUACCCAGGCUUUGACGGGUAGCCGGCCUGAGAGGGUGACCGGCCACAUUGGGACUGAGAUACGGCCCAGACUCCUACGGGAGGCAGCAGUGGGGAAUAUUGCACAAUGGGCGGAAGCCUGAUGCAGCAACGCCGCGUGCGGGAUGACGGCCUUCGGGUUGUAAACCGCUUUCGCCUGUGACGAAGCGUGAGUGACGGUAAUGGGUAAAGAAGCACCGGCUAACUACGUG